AUGUGUCGGACGCUGCUCGUCGGCCCUAGUUGUCGUCCUCAAUCUAGUAUGAUGUGUGAAGAUCUGAGACAAAAAAGAAGAGGAAGAAUUUUGACGAAGAGUUGGGUCAUGGGGAACAAAGGUCAUCAGAACAUACAUAACUGUUGCCGAAGCCCUCUUGCUAAAGGAGGAUAUAACCAACAUAAACACAAUGCUUACAAGGAGAUAUCGGCUCAUUUGAUUGCUAUAUUGGCUUUGGUCACCCUUGCGAGGCUCCUUAUCUUUGAAGCAAGGGUCGGAUGCUCUUUGGACUCAGGAAGACGAACAUGA
rnacentral:rRNA from 1 species